CAAACGGCCCUCUUUAGGGCCACAGACGUGUACGAAACGAAACGAA
rfam:Haemonchus contortus, ISE/inbred ISE, WGS project CAVP01000000 data, contig: Hcontortus_3892